rnacentral:rRNA from 1 species
UUGGCGAACGGGUGAGUAAUACAUAGGUAACUACCCUUAAGACGAGGAUAGCCAUUGGAAACGAUGGAUAAAACUGGAUAGGAUAUAGAGGAAGAAUCUUUUAUAUUUAAAAGAGAGAUCUGCUUAAGGAGGGGCCUGUGGCGCAUUAGCUAGUUGGUGGGGUAAGGGCCUACCAAGGCGAUGAUGCGUAGCCGGACUGAGAGGUUGAACGGCCACAAUGGAACUGAGAACGGUCCAUACUCCUACGGGAGGCAGCAG